UUUAUUUAGAAUUUUUUAGGUAUUUUUAGAGUAAUUUUUAAGACUUUUGUAAAAAUGAAUUUUAGCACUUCGGAAGCCAUUAUGAAGAAAUGGAGUAAGAUUUGAAGGCCACAUUAGGCUUUUAGGCUAAUUGGAUGUUUUUAAAUACCAUAGUGAAGUCAAAAAUGCAAAAUUAUAGAACUUACUAGUAGAAAAUAGGAGGACCAACAACUAGUAUAGUUCUUAUA
rnacentral:lncRNA from 1 species